rnacentral:rRNA from 1 species
UACGUAGGUGGCAAGCGUUGUCCGGAUUUACUGGGCGUAAAGAGCGCGCAGGCGGUCGAUCAAGUCGCGUGUGAAAGCCCCCGGCUCAACUGGGGAGGGUCACGCGAUACUGAUCGACUCGAAGGCAGGAGAGGGUAGUGGAAUUCCCGGUGUAGUGGUGAAAUGCGUAGAUAUCUGGAGGAACACCGGUGGCGAAGGCGACAUCCUGGACCGGCAUUGACGCUGAGGCGCGAAAGCCAGGGGAGCAAACGGG